UCGAGUUAUGAUAAUUCAUUAUCAAACUUCAUCCUAUGUUUACAUACUUUGUAUACUUUGGCAAGACGCUUUGACUUGUAGUUGGAGUUUGACACUAGUUAAGCGACGCCACAAGAAAAAGCCACUGACGUCAUUUACUUGACAGUGAGUGUGUUUGCUUGCCAAAGGUCUUAACUCUUUUAUACUGUUGUCUGAGUACUACAAAAAUAAAUUA
rnacentral:misc_RNA from 1 species